rnacentral:rRNA from 1 species
UACGUAGGGUGCGAGCGUUGUCCGGAAUUAUUGGGCGUAAAGGGCUCGUAGGCGGUUUGUCGCGUCGGGAGUGAAAACACGGGGCUCAACCCCGUGCCUGCUUCCGAUACGGGCAGACUAGAGGUAUGCAGGGGAGAACGGAAUUCCUGGUGUAGCGGUGAAAUGCGCAGAUAUCAGGAGGAACACCGGUGGCGAAGGCGGGUCUCUGGGCUGUAACUGACGCUGAGGAGCGAAAGCGUGGGUAGCGAACAGG